AUAAGAUUAAUCAGAGCAACACCUCGCAAGACUAUAAAACAGAUCGAUCUGUUAGAUUCAAUUCAAAGUACAAUUCGAACUUCAGCUAACCUCUAGACUCUUAAUAUUUUAUCUGAUUCAGUAUGAACUCGAAAGUCUCCUGCGUUUUGCUUAUUAUUGCUAUCGCCUUUUUUGUAAGUGCUGCUGCUUCGUGUCCAGGCAGUUGUCCACCACACCAUAAUCCAGUGUGCGGUUUUGAUGGAAUGUGUCUUUAUAAAUUUAAUAACGGAUGUGAAAUGAUUAGAUACAAUUGCCAGAGGGGAGGCCAUUUCCGCAAUGCAAGUCCAAAUCAGUGUGAUUCAGCUAAAAAUGGAGGAAAUUUGUACAUGUAUUGUCGACACAUUAACGGAUUUUAGAUUUUUAGUUUAAAAAUGUUAAUACUUAUUUCUGUCUUCAGUAAAAAUAUUUAAUGAAAAUUAAUAUUAAUACUUUUGUAUUUUUAUCAUGUGAUAAAGAUGAGUUUCAGAAGGUGUUUGUACGUUUUAACAAAAAGUCGAAUAGAUCUGUUAAUAUCAA